UAAAUUUACUUUACGCCUAACCAAUUCUGAAUUAAUCUUUAUUUAAUUUUGCAUAAUCCUAAUUACUAUGUGGACACUCCACCUAAUGCAAACGCAUGUAUACCGGUACAUGUAAUGGAAUAUUUGUGAUUUUUCCGUAGUAUGCAUGCACAAUUGGAGUGGGAAAUUGAUAAGAAUUACGGAAUAAAAGAAUACAUUAUUACUUAUAUUAAUUAAUACUAAUUAUCUCUUUUCCCUAAAAGUGUAUAUUCAUAUAAAAUGUUUAGCAAAAAGGCAUUGGCUUAAUACGUGUGUAUUUCUGUAACUGUUUUGGGGGUGGAGAAAUGUUAAGAUAGUUUUGAAAAUCAGCUAUUGGUCUUGGAAACCAAUCUUCUACCAUUAUUGUGUAGAUAUUGUGUCUCAUUUUCUUCUCAGCUUUAUAUAUCCAGGGGAUAAGCUCUUUGAUUACUAUUCGUUUCGGAUAUAAUAUCUCCUUUUUCGUAAUUUCAAGAGAAUUUAGAUAUUUAUCACAGUCUUGAUGAAUUUGUAUCGGCUUGGAUGGGUAUACGUGUGUUUUAUUAUGAUUUUCGAAAAUUUCCUUAGGCCUAACCUUUAAAAUUGGAGUGAUAAAAAGUCCCAUGAAUGCUCCUAUUGCUCCAAAAGGAAUUCCAGCAUGAAGAAACUCAAAUAACUUCAAUGUAACUUCAGAUUCCACUGUAAUGUUCAGCUCAAAUGCAGUAUGUAGGAUAUCGUGAAUCUAAAAAAAAGAAAGGUAAGUAAUUACAAUCUGCUAUUAAAAAUUAUCUAUAAUCGUUAAGACUUACCUGUCUGAACCUUGUCAAAACAUAAGCUAAAUCCUCACUGUUCACAUAUCUCACAGGAUCUCUAUUUAUUUCAAGGUUAUAAGUUGUCAAAAAUUCUCCAUACCUUCUUCCGAGUGAAUCAUCUGGAAAAGCCAUUAAAUCUUUAAUCGAAUAUUUUGAUGAAUCUAUCAAUGGUCUAUUCUUUAUUAUUCUUCUACCAUCUGGCGUGGAGUUCAUCAAAAUCUGUAAUCUUCUCAAAGCUCUAUUUGAGGUAAGUUCAGUGAUGCAUGCAACUGAAUUAGAAUCAGUUGGAUUUUUAAGACCUUCUACACAGCUUGUAACUGACAGCAAAACUUUCUCAAAUUGCGUUAUAGGGAUAUAAUUCUUCCUAAAUAGCUCUCUAAAAUCUCCUCCCUUUAAGCUUGAAGCGGUUCUCU
rnacentral:antisense_RNA from 1 species